rnacentral:lncRNA from 1 species
GUUAAUACUGCUGGGACAAAAUUGAAGGUUGUAGGUGAAAUCAUGGUACCAAAUAUGGUUACUGCAGGCACAAUGCAGUCCUAUGCAUAUCACAUUACUUCUAUUGCACAGGCUGGACAUUCAUGGUACCAAAUGUGGUUACUGCAGGCACAAUGCAGUCCUAUGCACAUCACAUUACUUCUAUUGCACAGGCUGGACAUGUAUUUCAACUUGAUGAACAGCAGCACAGUUGCAAUGCGCAUCAGUUAAGAGCUAAAAAUAAUGAUUCAGUUACAAAGGCUACAUCUGCAAAAGAUCUUCCUAAGCCAAAGGGGGAUUCAAUGUCUCUGCCAUUGUGGUAAAUGAAAAGAUAAUAUCAAUUCAAAAUCCUACAGAUAUAUCUGUUAUGCCAGAAAAUGCAAUGCAAAUUCCACUAAAGAGAAGAUGAUAGAGCAGCAGCAGCUAAGCUCUAAUGAAGCAGUAACUCAACGAGGGUUGGAUACUACUCAACAAACUUUCGAAAAUGCUCAUCAUUCUGCAAAUAACUGCUCUUCGAAGCCCAACAGAAACUCAAUUCCAAAAUUAAAAACAAUGCUCACUGUGCAGAUUUGAGGCCAGCUACUCAUGGAAGUUGCACUGGACAGAACCUGCUCAUGACCAACAAUCACAUUUCUCCAAUCAUUAAUUUGAAGGAAAACAAUGCAUUGCCUGGGCAGAGAAAUGCUGCUAGGAGUCCUGAGGAUGUAACUGGAUGUAAUUUCCAGGAUAAUGAGACUGAAAUGUUUCAAACCACACCAAAGCCUCAUAUGGUAAAAACACAACACAGUGUGGCUACUUCUAAAGGUAUAGCAGCCGUCGAUGUCUUUAAUGUUUUCUUAACUAACUCGGAGCUGUGAAAAGAUCAAAGACAGUUUUGCGCAAAUUUGAAAAGAGAGCAGGAAAAUACGCUUAAACAACGCUUUCAUUUCGAAAAUCAGCGAGUAGAAAGAGUAAUCAAGAAUGGAAUUCAAACUCCAUCUAUUGAAAACAAUUUAACUGGAAAGUUAAAGACCAAGUGGGAGGCUCCAGAUUUUAUUCCAAGUAAGCCUCCUUUUUGCACAUGCAUUCAUUUCCUAGAUACACCACCAAACACUGUGGAUGGCCACAUUGGAACAAGUAAGUCAGGUGUUAUCUUGAUGAAAAAUGCAACAUGGUCCGACAAGAAACCAAAUGUUAGACAAAUUCCAAUAAGAGCGGCCAAACAAAAGCAUGCUGCUACAACUUCGUCAUCAAAAUCCAACCGGUCAAAAAAUAAAAGAUGAUUUU